rnacentral:misc_RNA from 1 species
AACGCACGAGACCUGCGGACCUGCGGAAGGAUCAUUAAUGAGAAGCUGCCCCUCGUGGGUAGACCUCCCACCCUCUGUGAACUUACCUUUGUUGCUUUGGCGGGCCCGUCCUCUGGACCGCCGGCUUCGGCUGGCCCGUGCCUGCCAGAGGAUUCCAAACCCUGUCUGUCAGUGUUGUCUGAGUCUAUAUGAAAUCGUUAAAACUUUCAGCAAUGGAUCUCUAGAUCGGAAGAGCACACG